AGAGAGGUGGCCGAGUGGCUGAAGGCGCACGCUUGGAAAGCGUGUUUAUGGUAACAUAACGUGGGUUCGAAUCCCAUCCUCUCUGCCA
rnacentral:tRNA from 5 species